AGAGAAAUGUGAUAACCACUAUUGGCUAUUUACGACACGUUUCAUGCAAAUAUGUUAGCAUAUCUAAUUUGUGUCUUAUUUUGUAGAUGAAGUUGCUAAAUCCAAGCAAUCAACUGUCUCCACAAAAACAAAGAAGUUUAAGGAAAUUCAAUUUCAGAAACUUCAGAGAUUGCCAGAUGGGUGCCAUCCUGUUUUUGAUAAUGAUCAUCUGUGUUCUAUAAAUAAUCAUGACCUGCUUCCUAAAAUGAGUACUCCAAGUGCUGACCUUCAUCUACUUCCUGAGACAGGAGUGGAAAACAUGAGGACACCUAAAAGUCUUCACGCUGAACUUAAGCGUGAGCUGUCAAAGCUAAAUACGGUGUUAAAGCUACCAGUAUGUAUAAUC